rnacentral:lncRNA from 1 species
AGGUACUCGGAGAAAUAGGGAAAGCUAACCCGAAGCUCUGGUGGUGAUAUAUGUAAAUAUCAUAUCCAAGAUCCUUAUAACCAAUUCUCAACAAAUCACCAGAUUUAUCCUGACAAAAUCAUAUGUAUAUUGAGACUUUAGAUAAUUUCAUGGGGAUGUAAUUAGAGUAAAUAAAAGUUAGCAAGAAAAUUAAAAUUAGAGUGGCAAAAGAAAUACAUAAACUGACUUGAGUACUUAAUUGGCAAAGAACUAUCAAUUAUACAAAAUAUUAACAACUACACAAUACUAUGAUCCCAAACUAAAAUUCUUGCUCAAAAUCACAAAACAACAAAUCAGUCAAUUAGAGGUUCAGUCUAAAGUAAUAAAUAGAGAGUAAAACUAAAAUUUUGAACUAUCUAGGUCGAAUAGAAAAAAUCUGGAGCUUAAAAGUUGGUCGGCCAAAUCACAUAUACACGAAAUGAUCACAAUCUACAUAUAUAAAGUACAAAACUUGGGCAUUAACCUUGAAAUAAACCCUAAACCAAAAAAUAAAAUAAAAAAGUAACAAAAUAGUACUGAUAUAUGCGAAAAAUAGAUAAAUAAAAAGCUUACAAGAUGAAGAAUCUUCAUCUGUAGAGCUCAAAUUCUGAAUCUUCCGGUCGCCAGAGAGAAUCGCGAAAAAAAUACCUAACCAGAGAAAAAAGAGAGAGGAUUGGAAGAAGAGCGGUGUUGCGGGAGAGGGGGGAAUGAGGGCUAACCUGACCGCGGCGACCUUUGUUGUGAAUGUUCUAACUUUGAUUUUUCCUCUCUUCCUUCGAGUGAAACAAAUGGAAUUUGAGACUUUGGGGAUUUGAGAGUUUUGGAUUAGCAAUUUUAGGGAUUUUUGGUUAACAAAUAGAUUUGAAGAUUUGGGAAUUUAGGUGUGAUGGUGAUUUGAGGAAGGUGAGAAUAGGUUUUGUGGUUAUUUGAGGAAGGUGGAGGUUUGCUGGGUUUGGAAUGUCUGCUGCCAAAAAAUAUAGCUUGAGGAAGACGAGUGCAUCGUAAGAAGAAAC